rnacentral:rRNA from 1 species
GCAAGUCGAACGGAAGUACGUUGUAAUGAUGUUGACAUGAACAGAGAACUGUCAAAGGGAAUGGAGAUUGACUUACAACAAUGGCUUAGUGGCGGACUGGUGAGUAACACGUAAGCAAUCUGCCUACAAGAGGGGAACAACAGUGAGAAAUCAUUGCUAAUACCGCAUAAGCUAACGCCUUCGCAUGAAGAAGUUAGAAAAGGAGUAAUCCGCUUGUAGAUGAGCUUGCGCCUGAUUAGCUAGUUGGUGUGGUAACGGCAUACCAAGGCAACGAUCAGUAGCUGUGCUGAGAGGCAAAACAGCCACAUUGGGACUGAGAUACGGCCCAGACUCCUACGGGAGGCAGCAGUCGGGAAUAUUGCACAAUGGAGGAAACUUCCUGAUGCAGUGACGCCGCGUAUAGGAAGAAGGUUUUCGGAUUGUAAACUAUUUUAGACAGGGAAGAAAAAAGACGGUACCUGUAGAAUAAGCCCCGGCUAACUAUGUGCCAGCCGCAGC